GUGUCAGCAGCCGCGGUAAUACGUAGGGGGCAAGCGUUGUCCGGAAUUAUUGGGCGUAAAGCGCGCGCAGGCGGUUUGGUAAGUCUUCUGUUUAAUCCCCGGGCUCAACCUGGGUACGCAGAGGAAACUGGCAGACUGGAGUGUAGGAGAGGAAAGUGGAAUUCCACGUGUAGCGGUGAAAUGCGUAGAGAUGUGGAGGAACACCAGUGGCGAAGGCGACUUUCUGGCCUAUAACUGACGCUGAGGCGCGAAAGCGUGGGGAGCAAACAGGAUUAGAUACCCUGGUAGUCCACGCCGUAAACGAUGAGUGCUAGGUGUUAGGGGUUUCGAUACCCUUGGUGCCGAAGUUAACACAGUAAGCACUCCGCCUGGGGAGUACGCUCGCAAGAGUGAA
rnacentral:rRNA from 1 species